rnacentral:rRNA from 1 species
CUGCCGGGCGAAACCCGGAGGAAGGUGGGGAUGACGUCAAGUCAGCAUGCCCUUUAUGUCCAGGGCUACACACACGCUACAAUGGCCGGUACAACGGGUUCCGACACGGCGACGUGAAGGUAAUCCCUUAAAGCCGGUCUCAGUUCGGAUUGCAGGCUGCAACCCGCCUGCAUGAAGUAGGAGUUGCUAGUAACCGCAGGUCAGCACACUGCGGUGAAUACGUUCCCGGGCCUUGCACUCACCGCCCGUCACACCACCCGAGUCUGGUGCUCCCGAAGUCGCUGGCCGAACCCGUAAGGGACGGAGGCGCCGAAGGAGUGCCCGGUAAGGGGGGUGAAGUCGUAACAAGGUAGCCGUACCGGAAGGUGUGGCUGGAUCACCUCCUUUAGGG